GAGCCUUCUCUCAGUUGUAAUAGCGUUUCCCAAAUCCAUGGCACCUGCAGUCACCAGAGCCAGGAAUCUUCAUCAGCAACAGGAAGGUGGGAUGGUAUCAACCCAAAUGGGCUGGAGAUUGAGCACAACUCCUGGAAGCUGC